GAACCAGACGACUGUGGAGAAACAAGAUGUGAAACAUUUGAAAUCUGUCAAAAUGAAAAGAGGACCAUCAGCUGUCCUGUGCGUCAAAAGAUUUCCGUUUACUAUGCCAACUAUGGAAGGACAGAUUUGACCUCGUCGGUUUGCCCUCAUUCUAACACUACUCUCACGUCCGCCACUUGCACCUCAGACCAGACCUGGAUCGUAAAACUUUUGUGUGAUAAAAGAAAUGCCUGCCAACUUUACAUUUCAAGUUUAGUUUACCUCGAUCGGUGUCCGCACAUCCACAAAUAUUUGAGGGUGCUUUACACUUGCGGAGCACAAAAUUCAGGGUCAAGGUCAUCUUCCUGGUCUGAUGGUGACUGAAAACAUCCACACAUCAUACACAUCUCUAUUUCUGUGACCUUUGUGUGAGGAGGAAAUGUAUUUAUCUGUUUUCUUCAAUAAGUUAAUUAAUUCAUAUACAAUUUUAUAUAAUCAUUAAAGUAGAAUGUUAGCAAAAUAAUAUAAUGAUGUAGUAUUUUGUACUGGUUGAUUUCUAG